GAGAAGUGGAGUGAGGUUACAGUGGGCAAUUGGAAACGGAACACACGAUACAUCAAACCAUGACAGCAGCGUUGCCUCUGCACCGACUCUCCGCCUUAUCAUCGUCUCGAAGCUGCCAUCAUCCUCAUCAUACCACCACACUUAACGGCCUUUUUUCCUUCCCUCCAAAUCCCCCAAAUUCAAAACAAGCUCUCUUUCCUAAACCUCCAAAUCAUCAACCUUUCCGAAUCCUUAUCUCUCGCAGAGACGCUGCUUCCCUUUCCUUCCUUGCUCUAGUGCCUUUCUUCUCUCCGGUCGCGCCCCCUGCAUCUGCCUUCUCCAUCGGCAUUUCAGGACCGAAGGAUUGGUUGAAAGAGCAAAAGAGGAAGGCUUCCAAAUUCCUUUUGGCCCCUAUUGACGCCUCAAGAGAAAGCCUUCGCUCUGCCUAUCUCUUACUCACGGCUGUGGGUUCUGAAUAUACCAAUGAGGACUUAGAGAACGUUCAAGUGCUGUUGCGGUCGGCCGCCAGGGAUUGCGUUCCACAGGAUAGGAAUUCUUUUGUUAGCUUUCAAGCCAGCACGGGAGUCGAGGUUUGUACAUUCCGAUUGGUUGUGAAAAAUGCAGCCUCACUGCUUGAUAACAAGGAUCCUGUGAAGCUGGAGGCUGAAGCUAUACUGACUGAUCUUAUUAGAUCUUUCACUUCGCUGAAUGGUCUAGCUAGUGAAGUGGAUAUUCAAGUUGCGUCCAAUAGGUAACUUCCAUUGGCAAAUACUGUAACAAUCGAAGGAAAGUCCAAGCCACAUAUGAGCUUGUACUCCAAAAUGACUAGUUAUUGUUACAUUUGGAGCCAUUUGAAAUCAUUGUACAGGGCAAGAAUUUCUCCUUACCAACCAAUAUGGAUCUCAUUCAUCACCUUCCUAUACUAAAUACUGGACAAAACGUAGCUGCUGCACUCAUGGAUACAAUAUCUUGUCUUGACAAGUUUGAGCAGGGUAUUAAAGAAUGCCUUGAAGUUUGACCAUCAUUUUUAAUAAUUAAAGUAAUCAAGUGUAUAUUGUGCUGGAAUGUUUUACGGUUCUGACUGUAGGACAUGGAGGAUGGUGGAAGUAUGUCCAUAUUGUAUUGUUCUUGCUGUCCUGAAGUUCUCUUUCUAAUGUCUCCUUUCCCAUUUAUCUCAUUACUUUUAGUUGAUGAUUCCUUUUUCCUAUGAGGCAAGAUACUUGUAAUGGAAUGUUGUUAUUGGAAGGGAGUUCUCUGGAAUAAUUAUAGUCGAUGCUCUCGCUUAUCUCCA